AUACAUAUUUAAAAAAUACCGUGUUCUUCCGACAAAAACUUUAAAAGCGCUGAGAUUAUUUUCUUGCUUACUUUACUACCUAUUAAGAUGGUGUAUACAUAUGAUAAUUUUAUACUUACCUGUUUCCAAAAGUUCCUUAUAAUUUCCAGAUGUUUUUAUCAGUUUUUUUCCACGGGCAGAAUUGGACACGCGAAUUAAUUUCGCCAUGUUGACUCGAGUUGAGCUGAGCGAAAACUAAAAGUGAAAAAUGCGCCACUGAGUAGCGUCUCACAAUUCAUACCAAAUGUAUUAAAAUGCCUGACUCUAUGGUAAUAAACUACACCAAAA